CAGCUGUGCACAACAUCGAAUCAAUCCCCCACGCCUUUUCUCGUUCCGGUUAUGGACCGAGUAAUAGACAUCUCCGAUCAAGGUAGGGAUAGGAUUCCUCCGAACAAACAAGCGAAUGGCAUUAAUAUCCACAAAGUUCUUCUGGUUAGGAAACAGAAUGAUCCCAUAAAUGCCCGCAGCAAUCAAGGCACAGACAGCUUCC
rnacentral:lncRNA from 1 species